rnacentral:rRNA from 1 species
UACCCGCCGCUCAAGUGGUGGUCAUUAUUAUUGGGCUUAAAGCGUCCGUAGCUGGCUUGUUAGAUGCCUGGGUAAAUCGAUGUGCUUAACGCAUCGAAUUCCGGGUAGACCGGCAAGCUCGAGACCGGGAGAGGUGUAGGCUACUCGGGGGGUAGGGGUAAAAUCCGUUGAUAUCAUGGGGAACGCCAAAAGCGAAGGCAAUCGACUGGCGCAUUUUUGACGCUGAAACACGAAAGCGUGGGUAGCGAACGGG